UUCACAGUAGAUAAACGAAAAAAUGAUUUGGAAAAUUAUAUUUUUGUUGCCGUGUUUUAACGUUUUAGUGAACGCUGGUCAACCUUCACCAUUUUUUGUAGAACCUCCAAGGCAGACCGCAGAACCGGUACCAUUUCGAACAUUACAUGAAUGGGAAGUAACCUUAGAAUUAACGACCAUUACAGAUUGGACUACUUUGACACAUGAACCUAAUCGUAGUCAAAUUGAAGUCGCAGUAAAUGCAUUGAAAUGGAGUAAAUGUCCAAUUAAUAUUUUGGAUAGGCUUGUUUGAAACAGUGGUAUACGUCAAUGGCCUGCUAAUUUAAAAAAUACAACUGGAACUGGCCUUAACAUAGCUAAUAUAAAUAACUUGAGAUGCAGACGUAUUCCAGGAGCACCAGUAGUAUACGUGGGCAAUUUUGAAAACCAUUUGGUGCCUGAGCCAGGAAUUUUAUUUAUUUUGGAAAUCAUUGAAUGAAUCGUGGAUUCUGAUUAAAAUCGACCCAGCAGAUUUUAAUUUCACCAUUCAAAAAACCAUAAAUUUUAAAAAUAUAUAUACUGAUAGUGAAAAAAUCUAAAUAUUUUAAACAAUAAUUACAUAUUAGUUGAUUUGUAAAUGAUUUUGUAAACCUAAUUUGCUU